AACUUGCUAGCUCAGUCGGUAGAGCGUGAGACUCUUAAUCUCAAGGUUACGGGUCUGAUCCCCGCGUGGGGUUA
rnacentral:tRNA from 1 species